UACGUAGGGUGCAAGCGUUAAUCGGAAUUACUGGGCGUAAAGCGUGCGCAGGCGGUUCGCUAAGACAGAUGUGAAAUCCCCGGGCUUAACCUGGGAACUGCAUUUGUGACUGGCGGGCUAGAGUAUGGCAGAGGGGGGUAGAAUUCCACGUGUAGCAGUGAAAUGCGUAGAGAUGUGGAGGAAUACCGAUGGCGAAGGCAGCCCCCUGGGCCAAUACUGACGCUCAUGCACGAAAGCGUGGGGAGCAACAGG
rnacentral:rRNA from 1 species